rnacentral:rRNA from 1 species
ACCUGGUUGAUUCUGCCAGUAGUCAUAUGCUUGUCUCAAAGAUUAAGCCAUGCAUGUCUAAGUAUAAGCAAUUACAAAGCGAAACUGCGAAUGGCUCAUUAUAUAAGUUAUCGUUUAUUUGAUAGUACCUUACUACAUGGAUAACCGUGGUAAUUCUAGAGCUAAUAC